AUUGAACGCUGGCGGCAUGCUUUACACAUGCAAGUCGAACGGUAACAGGCCGCAAGGUGCUGACGAGUGGCGAACGGGUGAGUAAUGCAUCGGAACGUGCCCAGUCGUGGGGGAUAACGCAGCGAAAGCUGUGCUAAUACCGCAUACGAUCUAUGGAUGAAAGCGGGGGACCGUAAGGCCUCGCGCGAUUGGAGCGGCCGAUGUCAGAUUAGGUAGUUGGUGGGGUAAAGGCCUACCAAGCCGACGAUCUGUAGCUGGUCGGAGAGGACGACCAGCCACACUGGGAAGGAGACACGGCCCAGACUCCUCCGGGAGGCAGCAGUGGGGAAUUUUGGACAAUGGGCGCAAGCCUGAUCCAGCAAUGCCGCGUGCAGGAAGAAGACCUUCGGGUUGUAAACUGCUUUUGUACGGAACGAAACGGUCUGGGUUAAUACCCUGGGCUAAUGACGGUACCGUAAGAAUAAGCACCGGCUAACUACGUGCCAGCAGCCGCCGUAAGAC
rnacentral:rRNA from 1 species